rnacentral:lncRNA from 1 species
CUUUUAAUCAAGAGUUCCUCCAGAAUGAACUCAGGAUUUGAGAUGGAUCCUUCCUGGCUCAUGUUUGAUAUUCUUGUCAGAAACCCUUCUUGCCCUGAUUGGAAACUCAACUUACCCUGCAGCAAAGGUAAAUAAAAAUGUUUCAAUUGAACUUCAUUGUGCUCCUGGGCCUUUAUUCUUCAAGAGUUAACAGUGCAGACUUCUGGUGAUCCUCAUCCUAGGUGUUACCACAUCUAUAGAAUAGUAACUCAGGAGUGCAAUAGACUGUCGCAUUAAAAGGAAAGAAAAAUAACUUUUCAGCAUUAUGUAGCACUAAAUUUUGGAACUGGAAAUGGCCUUUAUAUCAUCUAGUCUUUCAUUAGAAAAGCAGGACAAUCAACUUGGACAUUGUCCUCGGGCAGAUAAGAGAUAGUAAAAUACCAUAAUCCAUUCAUAUUUGUGUAAUUCUUUGAUUCUCCAAAUUUUUUCCAAAAAAUAUUAAUGGCUUAUACAAAGAAAAACAAGAACAAAAUAUACAAAGAAAAAAACAAGGUUAUGAAAGAAAUUAAAAGCAAGGUAGUGAAUCACGGAUUUGAAUAGGGCUCUGUUUUUCUUACUGGUUUUGUAACAUCAGACAACUCAUGUAACAUUUCGGUUUCCUCAUCUGUAAAAUUUGAAUGUUUUUGAGGAUUAAGUAAAGUAAUACAUUUAAGACACUUAUCCUGGUGGCAAGAAAUAGUAAAUGCUCGAUAAAUAUUAGCUAAAAGUAUAUAUGCCGAUAUACAUGGGUUAAUACAGAUACUACGAUGGAGUAUUAGAUAAAGUUCUAGCUCACUGCAGCCUUCACCUUCCAGACUCAAGCGAUUCUUCUGCCUCAGCCUCUCAAGCAGCUGGGACCACAGAUGUGUGCCACCACACAUGGCUAUGUUGCCCAGGCAGGUCUUAAACUCCUGGACUCAAGCAGUCCUCUCCCCUUGGCCUCCCAAAGUGCUGCGAUUACAGGUGUGAGCCACUGUUCCAGCCCUGAGGUUCUUGAUAGUCUAGGUAGAGAGGAAAAUUAAAGAAGUUAUGUGGAAAACAUACAUUCUUUAGGAGAGUUUUUCCUGGCACCAAAUAAAUAUUCAUCCCACAGAGUUAGAGGGAUAUUGAGUACUGGACUUGAUUAUGUCCUUGACCCCAGUACUAAAUUUGUGAACUUGGACAAGUUAUUUAACCUAUCAUGUAUAAAUGUAUUAACAUACUGUAUGUUUACUUUUAGUCACUUUUGAGAUUGAUAAAAAGUGCUGAAUAAAGUGUUUUGGGAAGUGCCUUUUUCAUUCAAUCCUGUACACCUAAAACUUGUUUAUAACAACUAGUUUAUUCAUAUUCAUCUCUGUAAUAUUCCAUUGUGUGAUUAUAUCACAAUUCAUCCUUUCUCCUGUCAAUGGGCAUUUAGGUUGCUUCCAGGGUUUUCGCUAUUGCAAAUGGCUGUGGUAUAAAAAUUCCUGUAUAGCUCUCCUGACACUCAAGCGUACUUCCCCUCCAAUAACCUGGAUUGUAGAUUCUAGCUGUUUCAGCAGCCGGAAACCUCCACUCCGCCUCCUCAGUUCAGCAAUACCACCAUUCUGAGCCGCAUUCCUUGCACCAUGGUUGGGAAUGUCCUCCCAUGGAGACAGACAUGGUGAACCUGGGAUUCACCUUGUGUAUUUCCUUUCUUUUAGAUAUCAGUCUGCUUUGACUAGUAUCCAAUUCCUGAAAACAGUUGCUUCAUAUAUUUUGUCCAGCAUUAACUGUUGUUUGGGGUAGCAAGAUAAGUCCACUUAAAAUUAUAGCCGGAAGUGGAAGUCUAUUCAUCCCUAUUUUCUAUUCAAAUAUUUAGUUUUGUUUCGGUUAGUUAAUUCUUAAUACAGCUGUGGUUUAUUUGCUCAAACCAAAAGCCCAAGAGAAAUUUCAUUUAAAGGUAAUUUGAAGGAUACAAUAUCUUAGAUAUUCUUCAAGAUGCACUUAUCACAUCACAGUUUCAUAAUGCUCAACACUUCUUAAAGUGCUUUCACAUGGAAUAAUUUUCACGUACCUAAACUAUUGGCCUAUUAGGUAUCUGGCUUUCUGGUGAGGUACUUGUCAUGUUUUCCAUUGAAUUAUAUAUGGAUUUUUUUCCCAAUUAUGUCCAGAAAUGAAAUAUAUUCCAAGAUCCCUAUGAGAAACUUAAGAAAUAAAGAAACUCCCAUUUAUUCUAGUCUGGUGCUGUCACUUUUUCAAAUUUCUUAGCCUACUUCUACAGCAGCUAAGAAUUGGGAGAUAUGACAAUAGACAGGUCAGUUGAGAGAAAGUUUCCCAAAUCAAUACAGCCACUUACUUGAAUCUGUUAGCAACCGUAUCUUCUCUUGAGAUGUGUUUUGUACAAGGUGCUAUGGACUAUUUCUAAUUUCAUUGUGGUAGGCUUCCCUUCUCUUCAUUUUUCUCCACUUAACCUGAUCUGUCAGGUUGUAAACAAAUUUGAUUUGAAGGCAUGUUUGCUUCUAAUAGGCAAUUCUAUAGUACAGCCAAGAAGGCAAUUCUAUAUACAGCCAAGAAGGAUAUAUGUUGCUGGGGUAAUUUUUUAUAAUUAAAAAAAGUAUAAACUUAAAAAAUUGGUAUACAUAGGCAAACAGGUAAAAAUAAACCUUUGUUUCCUUCCAACAGAUACAUAAGCUCUGAGUAUUCUAAGCAUGUGUAACAGAAUGCUAAGCAACAGUCAAGCACAUACUCAACUAAUAACUAUGGUCUAUAAUAUUUUAGGUAUUGUGUGUCUUGUAAAUAGUAAAAUCAAGUAAUUCUUUCAAAUGUGCAGUGUUUAGAUUUGAAAUGAUUACAAGCACCAAAAAAACCCAUGAAUUAAAAUACAAUAUUUUAUUUUUGUCACCUAAAAAACAAGCAACCCAGAAUUAAGAUAUACGUAAGUUUCUCAAAUUUAUCCUAAUAAAAUUUUGAAUAUUUAUACAAUUUCUACAGAAACAUACAGUGUAUCAAAAUCUGCAUAAAUCAAAUUUAUAAAAUGUGUAGAAAUGCAUAGUGAUAUUACCAACUUACAAAGCAAGGAUAUGGGAAUUAUUUCCAAAGCAGCCUACAGUAGAAAAUAGUCAUUAUGGCAGCAGCUUCUGAUGUUUUUGUUUGGUAGGUUUUCUGAUUUCAAUAUAUAGAAUCAUAUUCAUAGAGUAUCUUCUUUUAACGAAUUGCACAAAGUACCCAUUUAAAAUUUACAUGCACAGUUCAUUGCCACCUUUCUUAGGCCUAUGCAUAGUUAAUAAGGUUAUAAUCUACUCAACAUGGAAAAUGGAGCCUAUUUGCAAACACACAAGUAAUUAAAGUACCAAUUCUCUCUUAGUUUCUUUUUUUAUAGUUGGUUUAUUUUGCAAUUAUAAAUGUUAAACAUCCCUAGAGAUGAAAGUUAAAAUGGUUGAUCACAGAUCAGUAGCAAAAUACAAAUUGACAAUUCAAAAUUAUAAAUAAAACUCUGUUGAGGAUGUUUAACUUUGAGUCUCCAAAUUUAAGAGCUAAGCUUGGAAGAAACAAAUUUAUAGGUUAUAUUUCCCUCUUAAAUUAAAAAACAAACUUCCUCUGGCAGUAGUUUGUGAAUUCCUUUCAUUGUAAUGAUACCAUGAUUACAGGAUCAAAAAUGCUUAACUUACUUGCCAUUCUGCUCACAUCAUCACAGUUGUUUUUUUUUUUUUAAGCACUCAAUGUAGGCAUUUUAAUCUUCUGGAUAACAGAGUAUCUUUUGAGAAAUUAAAAUCGAAUUGACCAUUUGCAAUAUUUGGUUUUCCUAAUAGGUACUGUCUUAGUAAAUGUUUAAAUCCAAACAAAUCUUCUGUUCACCGGAAAAAUACUAAUAAAAAUACACUUUCUAAAAAGAAAUUAAGAAACACUAGGGAACACCUAAUGUAACAGAAAGUAGUUCACGUUUGUUAAUAAACUGUAUUUUUAAAUAGUCCUUUGUUUUUAAAUUUUAAAAACGUGCAGAUAAUGUCAUUUGGAUGAAAAUAUAAAUGAAACAUCAGUUCACUCUUGGCUUCACAGGUUGCACAGCUUAGGUUAUAAUGCACACAAGUUUUAUAAGGCCUAAUCUAACAAGGGCUUGGAAAGUCUUACCUCAGUCAGAAUGAACCUUUGAUGUGUUUAUAACGGUGUUUUGUUGUUUUUGUCACCCUCGCUUUCAAGGGAUAACAAUAACAACUGAUAAUAGUUUUCUGUAUUGGCAGGUAUUGGAGAAAAGUAAAUCCCAAAUGUCAGUGGACAAUUUUUCUCUAGUUGGAAGACUCCUUUGCAAUCCUAGAAGUAGGUAUGGACAGAGGGCACUGGGAAUGCCAGUAGGUAAGGGAGUGAAUGCUACACAACUUCCAACCCUAUGGGACAGCCUUGGGAUGUUCCAUAUUGUCAUUUCUUUUUCAAGCCAUACAAAGUUCAACUUUAUAGCAAAUGGCAGCACAUAAAUUCAUUUCUGAGUAGUAAAAGUAUUCCCCAUACAGGUGACAAGUCCAUCAUUACCAUCCUAUAGAUUUCAUCACAAGCUCUUGAAAUAUAUACUGAGAAAUGAAAGAGGCACUAAAUGUGUUGAAAUUCACCUUUCAAAAAAGCAGCAUGACUGUGAAGGAAGGCCACCUUGGCUAAUAACCUGUGGCAGUGCUUCAAAAAGAUGUAAAAUUAAAUAAAGACACAACAGGUUGAUAAUCACCAAGUUAUAUAUGAAAGUCUGGCUACUCCAACCUUUUUUCAAGUGUGUUAAAAAUAAAAAUCAAACUGCCUUUCA